UCGAGCUGUCUGCCCACCUCUGUGUUAAAACGUCAUUCGAAUAAAAUUAAUUUUUUUAAUUUUUAAACAUAAAUUUAACAAUGUCUGAUGCGUUUGAAGAUUUAUUAGAUAAUUUAAAUGAUGAUUUAGUAAUAUUACUAAUUUGCAUAAGCGUUUUCUGUUUAUGUUUAUGCUUGGUUUUCAUUUAUCUUUGCAUUCGUUUUUGCGCAAAGAGCUCCGAACGCAGAAGCUCCCUUUUCCGAAAUGCUUCAGAGAUACCAUCAAGCAGGAGGCCAGGACAGCAAGAUGAGGGAAUUAUUGUACCACUUCAGGGUACAAUAAAUCAGCAGGAAUCUCUAGGAUAUACAGAUGUCUACAGAGGAGGAGGAGGAGGAGGACAAGAUCAAAGACCAACAGCUCCCAUGGAAACAAAUCUACCCUAUCCGUCUUAUCCCUUCUAUGACAGGAUGCCAGUACCUCAGGUGCCUAGCAACAGCUCAAAAGAUCAGCCAAAUCAGGCUCAAGAUAACCCACCUUCAUAUAACGAUGUAAUAACAAGCCCCAAUUACUAUCGGGAUAAAUAAAAAAUAGAUUUUUAAGGAAUCCAAAAGCCUCAAAAAAAAUUUCAGAAGUUCGUUACAAGCAACGAAUCCUUUUAAAGAAAGGAGAAAUAUGCGUAGAAGACCCUUCGCGCUUUUGCGCAAAAAUAUUUUUGCGAGAGAUUGUUUACAGAAUUUUCCUCCUUUCUGUACCUUUUUCCCUCAUUCCAAAAAUUCUUCCUAAUUGCCAGACAAUAAUUUAUGUCUCGUGGGGAUAUAGUAGAUGAUCCAUUUUGGACGAUAGUUUUGAUCCUUUUUGGGAUUUUUCUUUGGACAGUGUAUCUAAUGAGUUUGUGCUACCACAAAUGCCGAAAGUCUUUUACAGACUCCACCACAGAUGAGUCUCAACGCCCAAAUGAACGCACGGAAAUGCUUCCACGGCCUGAUCGGGAAAAUCAGCUGAAUGGAAUGUCUGAGAGGGAAACUCUCCAUUCAACUAGAAAUUUAAUUCCACCCUCCAGGGGAAGCUUGGAAGAUGAUCCUCCAUCAUAUGAUGAUGUUAUGCGAAAUCAAGCUUAUUAUGAGGAACAUUGAUUAACAAUAUUUUUGAGACAAAUCAUAGCAAUCUUGUAAAUAAAAUUUGGAGUGUUAAAAAAUAAAAUAAAAUUGUUCUCAA